UGGGGAAUUUUGGACAAUGGGCGCAAGCCUGAUCCAGCCAUGCCGCGUGCGGGAAGAAGGCCUUCGGGUUGUAAACCGCUUUUGUCAGGGAAGAAAUCUUCUGGGUUAAUACCUCGGGAGGAUGACGGUACCUGAAGAAUAAGCACCGGCUAACUACGUGCCAGCAGCCGCGGUAAUACGUAGGGUGCGAGCGUUAAUCGGAAUUACUGGGCGUAAAGCGUGCGCAGGCGGUUAUGCAAGACAGAUGUGAAAUCCCCGGGCUUAACCUGGGAACUGCAUUUGUGACUGCAUAGCUAGAGUACGGUAGAGGGGGAUGGAAUUCCGCGUGUAGCAGUGAAAUGCGUAGAUAUGCGGAGGAACACCGAUGGCGAAGGCAAUCCCCUGGACCUGUACUGACGCUCAUGCACGAAAGCGUGGGGAGCAAACA
rnacentral:rRNA from 1 species